rnacentral:lncRNA from 1 species
AUGCACCUAAAAUUCUUUGCAAACGUUAACACAUCUGCCAAGCUUGAUGCAGAGAGUGACUUUAGAUGGUCCACAAGGUAUGGAUUAUUCCUUGGUCAGCAUUCCAGAAUGAAAACUCAGAGUUCAGGGUCCUUCAGAGUUUGGGGAGGGGAGGGAGUGGAGGGUUUAUGGAAUGAUGUCAAAAGGAAGCUGGGAAGAUGGAGCAACAAGGCAAAGGUGUACUAACCCAUUUGAAGGUAUACUUAGAUCCAUGGAAUCUGAGUUGGAAAAGACCCAUUCUAGAUCCCAUGAUCAGCAAGGAAUGGUAGAAAAUUUUUAGUCCAAGUAAGACAUUUAACAGAUUAGGAAACUGAGGUAGAAAGCUGUUGUUAUUUGGCCAACGUUAUCCAACAAAUUAGUGUCAGGCUCAGCACUAGUACACGGUUCUCCUGAUACUCAACCUAUGUGCUUUCUAAUAUAUCAGUGAUCUGAUCCAAUCCUCUCUUUGAGAAAGAAAACACAUGAUUUAUCACAUGUUGUUCAGUCAGAUCUGACUCUUUGUGACGCUGUUGGGAGUUUUCUUGGUAGAGAUUCUGGAGUGGUUUUCCAUUUAAUUCUCCAACUCAUUUUACAAAUGAGGAAAUGGAAGCUAAUAGGAUUAAGUGACUUGCCCAGGGUCACACAGCUAGUAUGUAAGGGCAGAUUUGAAUUUGGGAAGAGGAGUCUUCCUGAUCCCAGAACUAUCAUUGUGUCUCCUGUACUACCUAGUUGCCCUAAUUUAUCUUUUUGAUAUCAUAAAGAUAUAGACAUUAAAUUGUGCUUGGAUACCUCCAUGAAGUGUGCGUUCACUAUUUUAAAAGUAAGCCCAUUCCAUGCUUUUUCACAUUUUGAUUUAUAGAAAAUACUUUCCUGUGAUGAGCCAGAAUCAGUAUUAUUGCAUCAUUGCUAUGAAUACUCCACUCAUUUUGUCAACCAAUCAGAAUCUAUUAUGUUCCUAUUAUGUGUUAAGCUUUGGGAAUAAAGAUAAAAAUGAAACAGUCCUUAGGAGCUGA